rnacentral:misc_RNA from 1 species
GCUAUCCCAACAGUCCCAAAGGAAAAAUUGUUACUUCAUAAGAAGGAAUGAAAAUGAACCGAAAAAUAUAUAGCAAAAAAAUGGGGGAAAAAAGAAGUAAAAUCUCCGCAUUAUAGUGCUUACAACUCAUAAUUUCGCUCACACAUUGUCAGUUGAUGAGUGCUUAUUGUAUGGUGCUAAUGUUUCUAUCGACUAAUGUCGCUUAGUUCGUACGUUCGUUGGUUGGAUGGAUGAAUGGUUGGAAAUGGUUGUUUGUUUGCUUGCUUGCUUGGUAGUAGACCGACUCUAUUUUGCAUUCUGAUUCAACUUUGAAACACACUUCAGUCUAAUAAUACCUCCAACUAAGUAAGAUUGCCGACGAAUUAAAAGCGGAAUAUUAUAUUAUAUGACGACGAUGUGACAACGACAUUAAAUUAAAUACAUACACAAGUGUCUGUGCGUGAGAUCAACAAAAAAAUAUAUAUUGAAAUUUAUAAAAUAUACAAAAAAAAAGUAAAAGAAAAAUUCAACAAACCCACAUUAAAAGUGUUAUGAUUGCAAUGAAAAUUUAAAUAAAAAUGAUAUUAAAAACAACCUACAAACAUACAGCAAACUACGUUCAUAAAAUGUAGGCCCGAAAAUAAUGAAUUGAAAAUGUUUUAUACUUUUUUGUUUCCAAUUCCAAUACAAAAAAUUAUAACAUUUGCAUGAAGAGAAAAAAGUCUGUUGGAAAAAAAAAAUUUUGAAGAAGAAAGAAAAAACUAAAUCAUCAGAAGUCAGAACAUAGCAAAGUGAAUGAGUUAGUGAGUGAACGUAAUUGAAAAUGAAAGCUCAUAAUUUAUACAAAAAAUUCAAAUGAUAUAUAACAAACAAUAUACUUACUUCUUACAUAUUUCUUCUGUAAACAUACAUAGAUACACAGAUACAGAUACCAAAUAUGAAAAAUGAUACAAAUUAACACCAACAACAACAACCAAAAAAGCUAGAAAAAAACAAAAUAAUAAUUAAAAAAAUCUUCUUCUUAAAUUUUGUCUAAAAAGAAAAUUACAUUGUAUAAGUAAGAAAAAAACAUAUACUUCAUAUACAUACUUAUAUAUUGAAACAUCCGCUGUUGAAAUACUCAUCAUCCAUCAGAUACUAUAGUACAUAUACAAUAAUCAUACUUACAUUCAUACAUACAUACAUAUAUAUCUAUAUCCAUCUAUAUGUAGGGAAGUAUGAAAAAUCGAUGCCAGACUCUGUAACUUCAAAGCGGCCAGUCGUUGUAUUCGUCAAUGUGCUGCUGAUGUUUGCUUAGAUUUCAAUAAUUAAAACAAAAUAAUAAAAACAAAAUAAUAAUACAAUUAAACAAACUUUCAAUUUAAUUUAAUAAAAAUCCACAACAACGACAAAACAACAUUUAAUUUAAAACGUAUUAAACGAAAAACGAAUUACCUUUCUUCUCUUAUUAAGUUUAAAACUGCAAACAGCAAAAAAAAAAUAUUGAAAAAAAUAAGUGUAUAGAAAAUUAGUUCUUAUAGAACCAGAAAAAAAGUAAUCCUUUGGCAAAAAAAAUAAAUGAUAAAAUAGACAACACAUCCUUUAAUUUAAAUGACAAGUGCAUCCGUUAUUGAUAAUGCUCCCACAACCAUUUACAACCUUGUAACACAUCAAAAACAUUAGAGGCCAACCAUUAUUCUAAACUAAACUAUUAGAACUUUUAUAAAUGGACUUUCGAUUUAUAGUUACGGUAGUAACUAAAUCUCGAUAGAAAACAAAACAACAAUCAUUUCAUCAACUGCCGCAGCAGCAAAAGUAUCAUAUUUUCGUUUCUAUUGAACAUUUCUUCAAACAGAACCACAAAUGGAAAUCGAAGAGGAGGAAAUGUUAGAUGCUGUUACAUUUCCUAUUGAUGAAAUUCCCGAACCCAUUAAAGUACUAGAUGAUAUAAUAUCCGAAUUUGAGGAUCUAUCUUUGAGGCCACAAUUGCAAAACAAUGGAGAGAAUCAAUCAGAAGAUGAUGGUUACAUGAGUCUUAGUCGCAAAAACAUGAAAGAAAAACGCGAUUCGGAGGAAAUGUCUCAAACGAGUUCAAGUUGUGCUCCAACCGUAACGCCUAAUGAGAGUUUUGAUGCUGUUGACCUGGCUCGUUUUGAGACAAAUGGCAAUUGUAGCAAAGAAUUUAUCGAAUCGAAAACAACAGCAGCCACAACACCUACUAACAACGCCAAUACAACAGACAUUAGUAAUAUAGUGCAAACAACUUUACCUAAGGCACGUACAUCAAACUCAACGGCACCAAGCAACAAUUCUAAUUAUUCUAGUCUUCCAUGUUGUGGACAACGUACCACCAACACAGUUGGUGACCUAAAAUUACGUGUUGGCAGCUGUAAUGGUGAAAGGAAUGCGCUGGGUAUUGAUAUCAGUGCUGUUCACAAAGCAGUGCUAAAGGGACGUGUGGCCAAACUGCCCGAGAUUCACAUGGCCCUAGAACCCAUACUAAAUGAGCAUCCUGUAACCAUAUAUCCGGGCCCCAAAGAUGGUCCUGCUGGGGCGCGUAAUAGUCGGCCAAAACGUUUACAAGCUUCCGUAGAUAAACACAAGGAAGUUUGUCAUAUACUUAAUCCAGGUAACACAUCGGUUUCAUCUUCAUCUUCUUCAAGUUCACCAGCCAGUACUGGAACCUCCUCUGAUAAUCAGAAUCAUAAAACCAAUUCUUCCUCUUCGAAUAAUACAUUGGAUAAAUUUUUCAAAAAUACCACAGACGACGAUGAUGAAGAAGAGGAGGAAUUGUCUGAAGACUCGGGAGAAGAUCCCUCAGGCAUAACUAUUUCUUCGGAGUCAACGCUACUUACACCUAGGGGCAUAGCUUGGGAAAUUCAUUUCAAAGAUUUCAAAAAGAAAACGAAACAACAUCAACGUGAAAUCAAAAAGAAAUCUUCGACGAACCAUACAAAACAGGGUAAUCUGAAAUCAUCUAUAGAUGAUUGCAGACAUUUACAAAAUGUUGCCAAUAAUGAGGAAGAAUUUCGUUGUUUCGAAGAAAGUUCUGAAAUUCUAAAUUCCUGCGUUUUUCGUCAAUCAAGUAUGCUGGGCAAAGGUACAUUCAUCAUACGACGUGGUUCCACUAAACGGCCUCCCCGAGCUAUGGAUAUUUUCUCCAAUUAUGAGGCAUCCAAAGAUGGUUUAAGUGAAAGUGAACCAGAUGUCGAUUCUGAAUCAGAACGUGCAAAAUAUAUGACGAAUGAUAUGAGAAAAGAUCCUUUACCAUGUGAUAUUAUAAAAGAUGGCAAUAUACGACAUAGUUUGGAUAUAGCAAAACCCUUAACAUCUCCCAGAGAGCGAUUAUCAUUGAAUUUGGAAUCGCAUCAUGCUCACCACAAUUCUCUCAAAAAGGAUCUGUCUCCUAUACAACACCUUAGUAAAUCAAAUAUAGAAACGUCCAAAAAAGGCAGCUUAAAAUCAUUAGAUGGUCGUACUAGUUCCGAAUCUAUUAAUAUUGUAAGAACCCCUUGCCAUGACGAGGCCAGUGGUUUUGAUCUUAAGUCCUCGGGAGCCAGUGUCAUAGAUCCCACAAAUAUGUUUGUUUAUAAGCAAUCAUCAAAUGGUGCCAUAAAAGGAGCUGAUUUUAAUGAGCUGCGUUCAACUUCUACCACACCUCAUACAGAUCUGGCUCCUACCCUGGAAGAAGAUGAGGAGCAAUUAAGUGAUCUGAGUUAUAGUUGUGCUCCUUUGAAACAAAUCGAAAACAAUAUUAGUGCUCUUUUGCGUGGUGAAAUUGCUGUGGCACGCAUGGUGGAUAUAGCAGGGCAGCCUGUAGCAAAACGUCCUUUAGAAUUUCGUCCUGGAGUACAUAAAUCGGAAAGUGCCAAAGAAAUGAAAUUAUCACAAAAUGUAUUCGGACCCUUGCCGCCAUCACCGCCAUCUUCCAACCCGGAUACUUUUGACUACAAUGAUUUGCCUUUACCACCCUCGCCCUCAGACGAUACAUCGGUGGGCGAAGACGAUAUAAAACCGCCUGUUAAACCCUUUGUGCAAACCUCAGCCGAAGUUCAUACCCAGUCAGUAUCGCGAGAAGAAUUACGUCCUCAACGCUCAAAGGAACGUGAAAAAUCUCGACCUGUUCACCGUCAUAUGUCUGAUGAAUUGCCUUUACCUCCGCCACCACCACCUCCAACAGCAUUUGAAAAUUUGCCACCUGCCGUGCCACCACAUCGUCACGGUCAUUCAUCGAAUACUAUGAAAUCUUGGUCAAUUGAUUCGAAUUAUAAACGGAAAUCACCGCGUAUGAUGGGAGGCUAUGGUAGUGGUGUAACAACACCUACUAGUUCACAUGGACCUUCAUACGAAGGUAGCGGGGGUGGAGGUUAUGGCACCAGACGUUAUGUAUCCUAUGGAACUAAACGUAGUUUAAAACAAUCCCCCAGAGAGGAACAUCGUUUACAAACAUCCUGUAGUCUACCCGAAACUCCAAUAUUUGCUCGUGGCUGUGACAUACCCCGUACUCCAUAUAGACGCCAAAACGAAAAUACUCCCAGCGGUUCUCGCACGGCACCCAGAUCCAGUACUUCCAAUAACAUUAAUAUGGGCAACUCAAUUGUGGGCAUAUCGGGCGGUAAUACUUUCGGUGGUGCUAUGUGUCGUCAACGUUCCAUUAAUCAUGCUUUAGCUUCCAAUGAAAUGCUUAGACUUGCCGGCGCUCCACAGCGAGGCUGGUAUCCUAAACAACGUUCUAUGCGUCCAGCCUCUACAGAGAAUAUAGAUCGUAUUUCAACUAUGAGACCAUGGGAUGGAACUCCUGGUAUGACCGGCACAGGUCAGGCAAGGAAACCCUUAACACUACCACCCAAUUUGACACCAUCAUUUCUAAAUAAAUCACCCAGAGAAGCUUUACGUCGAGUUACUAGUUUGUUAAUAACCAAAAAGAAACCAAAUAAGGAUAAAAGAAGCAAGUCUGCUUUUACAGCCGAUCAUGCAUUAGAGGCACAUUAUUAUCAAGAUAUCGAAAGAUGCUCCUCUGUUAGCACUGCAAAUACAACAACAAAAGACUCAAAACGUGGCCAAAGUAAUACUGCUGAUAAGCCGAAGAAAAAAGGCAUAUUUAAAACUUUAUGGAAACGUACGAAACAUUUUUCAUUGGAUCAUUUUGCUAAAGGCCAAAAGAAAAAACUAAAACAACAAUUGUAAACACAUUAAUUUAAGAAAUAAAAAGCAGUGAUCGUCUUAAAAUAAUGAAAAACAACUUUAAAAGGAAGAAGUAACUAAGCUAAAGAGAAGGAGAGGAGGGAGGGGAAAAUUAUAUCUCUCCACAUGAUGGUUUGUAUAAACGUAAGUAAGUGAGUGGGUAGUGUUGGUGGUGGUUGUUGAUGACAUAUACCAUUAGUACUUGAGCUUGAAUUAUGCCACAUAGCUGUAUUCAUCACCCGAAUUGGGAGUUCGUUCUAUGUAUUGUUUAUCAAUCAAUGAUUCGAUACAUUUCUUAAUAAUUGUGAUGCUAGGUGUAAAACUAACAUUUGGCUGCGAUAAUAUCUAAAACAACAAAUAAAUGUUAUUAUUAAAUAAAUAAA